rnacentral:rRNA from 1 species
AACGAACGCUGGCGGCGCGUUUUAAGCAUGCAAGUCGAACGGGAUCCUGAGUGCUUGCACUUGGGUGAGAGUGGCGAACGGGUGAGUAACGCGUAGGUGAUCUACCCUGAAGUUGGGGAUAGCCCAUGGAAACAUGGGGUAAUACCGAAUAUACUGCAUAAUUUUGUUUAUGCAGGAAAGGAGCGUUUGCUUCGCUUUGGGAUGAGCCUGCGUAUGAUUAGCUAGUUGGUAGGGUAAUGGCCUACCAAGGCGACGAUCAUUAGCCGGCCUGAGAGGGUGACCGGCCACAUUGGGACUGAGACACGGCCCAGACUCCUACGGGAGGCAGCAGCUAAGAAUCUUCCGCAAUGGACGCAAGUCUGACGGAGCGACGCCGCGUGUGCGAAGAAUGUCGAGAGAUUUGUAAAGCACUUUAUAUGUGAGGAAUAAGCGUGUCAGGAAUGGGCAUGUGAUGACGUUAGC